GCCUACGGGGGGCAGCAGUGGGGAAUAUUGCACAAUGGGGGAAACCCUGAUGCAGCGACGCCGCGUGAGUGAAGAAGUAUUUCGGUAUGUAAAGCUCUAUCAGCAGGGAAGAAGAAGGACGGUACCUGAGUAAGAAGCCCCGGCUAACUACGUGCCAGCAGCCGCGGUAAUACGUAGGGGGCAAGCGUUAUCCGGAUUUACUGGGUGUAAAGGGAGCGUAGACGGCGAAGAAAGUCUGAAGUGAAAGCCCGCGGCUCAACCCUGGGACUGCAUUGGAAACUGUUUAACUGGAGUGUCGGAGAGGC
rnacentral:rRNA from 1 species